UGAUGUACUGAGACUCCGAUUC
rnacentral:miRNA from 1 species